rnacentral:rRNA from 1 species
UUAAGCGACUAAGCGUACACGGUGGAUGCCCUGGCAGUCAGAGGCGAUGAAGGACGUGCUAAUCUGCGAAAAGCGUCGGUAAGGUGAUAUGAACCGUUACAGCCGGCGAUGUCCGAAUGGGGAAACCCAGUGCAAUUCGUUGCACUAUCGUUAACUGAAUACAUAGGUUAACGAGGCGAACCGGGGGAACUGAAACAUCUAAGUACCCCGAGGAAAAGAAAUCAACCGAGAUUCCCCCAGUAGCGGCGAGCGAACGGGGAGCAGCCCAGAGUCUGAAUCAGCUUGUGUGUUAGUGGAACGGUCUGGAAAGUCCGACGGUACAGGGUGAUAGUCCCGUACACCAAAAUGCACAGGCUGUGAACUCGAAGAGUAGGGCGGGACACGUGGUAUCCUGUCUGAAUAUGGGGGGACCAUCCUCCAAGGCUAAAUACUCCUGACUGACCGAUAGUGAACCAGUACCGUGAGGGAAAGGCGAAAAGAACCCCGGCGAGGGGAGUGAAAAAGAACCUGAAACCGUGUACGUACAAGCAGUGGGAGCACCUUCGGGUGUGACUGCGUACCUUUUGUAUAAUGGGUCAGCGACUUAUAUUCUGUAGCAAGGUUAACCGUAUAGGGGAGCCGCAGGGAAACCGAGUCUUAACUGGGCGUUAAGUUGCAGGGUAUAGACCCGAAACCCGGUGAUCUAGCCAUGGGCAGGUUGAAGGUUGGGUAACACUAACUGGAGGACCGAACCGACUAAUGUUGAAAAAUUAGCGGAUGACUUGUGGCUGGGGGUGAAAGGCCAAUCAAACCGGGAGAUAGCUGGUUCUCCCCGAAAGCUAUUUAGGUAGCGCCUCGUGAACUCAUCUUCGGGGGUAGAGCACUGUUUCGGCUAGGGGGUCAUCCCGACUUACCAACCCGAUGCAAACUACGAAUACCGAAGAAUGUUAUCACGGGAGACACACGGCGGGUGCUAACGUCCGUCGUGAAGAGGGAAACAACCCAGACCGCCAGCUAAGGUCCCAAAGUCAUGGUUAAGUGGGAAACGAUGUGGGAAGGCACAGACAGCCAGGAUGUUGGCUUAGAAGCAGCCAUCAUUUAAAGAAAGCGUAAUAGCUCACUGGUCGAGUCGGCCUGCGCGGAAGAUGUAACGGGGCUAAACCAUGCACCGAAGCUGCGGCAGCGACACUAUGUGUUGUUGGGUAGGGGAGCGUUCUGUAAGCCUGCGAAGGUGACCUGUGAGGGUUGCUGGAGGUAUCAGAAGUGCGAAUGCUGACAUAAGUAACGAUAAAGCGGGUGAAAAGCCCGCUCGCCGGAAGACCAAGGGUUCCUGUCCAACGUUAAUCGGGGCAGGGUGAGUCGACCCCUAAGGCGAGGCCGAAAGGCGUAGUCGAUGGGAAACAGGUUAAUAUUCCUGUACUUGGUGUUACUGCGAAGGGGGGACGGAGAAGGCUAUGUUAGCCGGGCGACGGUUGUCCCGGUUUAAGCAUGUAGGCUGAUUGUCCAGGCAAAUCCGGAUAAUCAAGGCUGAGGUGUGAUGACGAGGCACUACGGUGCUGAAGUAACAAAUGCCCUGCUUCCAGGAAAAGCCUCUAAGCAUCAGGUAACAUNAAAUCGUACCCCAAACCGACACAGGUGGUCAGGUAGAGAAUACCAAGGCGCUUGAGAGAACUCGGGUGAAGGAACUAGGCAAAAUGGUGCCGUAACUUCGGGAGAAGGCACGCUGGUGUGUAGGUGAAGUCCCUGCGGAUGGAGCUGAGACCAGUCGAAGAUACCAGCUGGCUGCAACUGUUUAUUAAAAACACAGCACUGUGCAAACACGAAAGUGGACGUAUACGGUGUGACGCCUGCCCGGUGCCGGAAGGUUAAUUGAUGGGGUUAUCCGUAAGGAGAAGCUCUUGAUCGAAGCCCCGGUAAACGGCGGCCGUAACUAUAACGGUCCUAAGGUAGCGAAAUUCCUUGUCGGGUAAGUUCCGACCUGCACGAAUGGCGUAAUGAUGGCCAGGCUGUCUCCACCCGAGACUCAGUGAAAUUGAACUCGCUGUGAAGAUGCAGUGUACCCGCGGCAAGACGGAAAGACCCCGUGAACCUUUACUAUAGCUUGACACUGAACAUUGAGCCUUGAUGUGUAGGAUAGGUGGGAGGCUUUGAAGCGUGGACGCCAGUCUGCGUGGAGCCAACCUUGAAAUACCACCCUUUAAUGUUUGAUGUUCUAACGUUGGCCCCUGACCGGGGUUGCGGACAGUGUCUGGUGGGUAGUUUGACUGGGGCGGUCUCCUCCCAAAGCGUAACGGAGGAGCACGAAGGUUAGCUAAUCCUGGUCGGACAUCAGGAGGUUAGUGCAAUGGCAUAAGCUAGCUUGACUGCGAGCGUGACGGCGCGAGCAGGUGCGAAAGCAGGUCAUAGUGAUCCGGUGGUUCUGAAUGGAAGGGCCAUCGCUCAACGGAUAAAAGGUACUCCGGGGAUAACAGGCUGAUACCGCCCAAGAGUUCAUAUCGACGGCGGUGUUUGGCACCUCGAUGUCGGCUCAUCACAUCCUGGGGCUGAAGUAGGUCCCAAGGGUAUGGCUGUUCGCCAUUUAAAGUGGUACGCGAGCUGGGUUUAGAACGUCGUGAGACAGUUCGGUCCCUAUCUGCCGUGGGCGCUGGAGAAUUGAGGGGGGCUGCUCCUAGUACGAGAGGACCGGAGUGGACGCAUCACUGGUGUUCGGGUUGUCAUGCCAAUGGCACUGCCCGGUAGCUAAAUGCGGAAGAGAUAAGUGCUGAAAGCAUCUAAGCACGAAACUUGCCCCGAGAUGAGUUCUCCCUGAGACUUUAAGUCUCCUGAAGGAACGUU